GCGAAAGUGAAAGAGAGGUUUAAAGCCUUCAGUGUAUUUGUGCUCGUCUGGUACCUUUCUGUCCUUCUCGAGCUCGGAUUAAACACAUUUAUUCUGUUCAUUAAACACCACGAUCGACUCUUGAGAGCAAGAUUUAAUGCCGGGAGCCUGUGCUGUGUGAAACCUGCAGAUCUGUGAAGACCAGACCAGACCAAGCCAACAAACUCCAUCUGAAUAUCUGUUUACUCGCCUCUGGAGCCAUUUUGCUUUUCCUCACUCAUCACUUGAAGAUUUUAUUUCUGUAUGAAAGGUUUCAGCUCUAAUGUUGACUCUUGCCUAAACAAAGAAAAAUAAACUGCUUUCCUCACUCAAUACUGCCUGGAAUUCUCUGAAUUUCACCAUAACAGAAACACAGCUAUUAACUUUCUAAGUCAGAGCAAGAGCAAUUCAUAUUUUUUUACAUUUAUUUAUUUAUUGCUCCAUAUCAAGUUGAAAUGAAUGAUGUAUCAAUCCCAAACUCGUACGAUUGUCCUUCUUCUGUGGAUCAAGGAAGAUUUGUUGAAGAAUCAACACCACAAUACUCAAACAGACCACAGCUCUUUCCUGCCCACUUCAUGCCAGUUUAACAAACCAUGAUCAAUAUCACUCACACCAGAGGAGACGCAGAAGGUUUUUCCCCAUUUCUGUCAGCUGAUGGAGUCUGGUGUAGUGAAAUCUGUGGAUAUCUGCUCAGACUGACACCAUCAGAUGAGAUCAGCUCUUGGACUGAAUCCAGCUGGACUCUGAACAGAUCUGAGUAAUGAGCUCACUGUGUCUACAGCACGAUCUGAACUGAAACAGAGUCUGAAUCAGGGAUUCUCCUGUUCAUCAUCUCGAGCUUGACUCUAGAAAUAAAGCUGACCUGACUAUAUGCCAUUUCUGUUUAAAAUAAAUAUCAUGUGCUUAAAUAUCUCUAUAUUACCACAUUUGCAAUUUACUACAUUUAGUAAAAUAUAUGUGGAUUUUAAAUGUAAUAUUGCAUAACACACUAUAGUUACAAUUAUAAUCAAGUGCUUUAUGAACACAUCAAAAUAAAUGUCUUCUUGAAAGCAC